GUUUCAGCCACACUAUGGUUAGAAAGUUACUUACAUCUGGCAUAUUCUUCCUGAUAAAUAUCCCUGAAAGACUCAAAGUAGCCAGGAUGCCACAAUGUCACUCAGCAGGUUGCUAACAGAAAACAUUCUUAGGUUGACAGUAUUCUGCCAAAGCAGUUGGGCACAAGGCAGUGUCUGGCAGCUGUCAAUGAAAGGAUCAAAUUGAGUAGUCUCUAACAGCUUAGCUUACUUAAAGGAAAC
rnacentral:lncRNA from 1 species